rnacentral:rRNA from 1 species
GAUGAACGCUGGCGGCGUGCUUAACACAUGCAAGUCGAACGAUGAAGCCCAGCUUGCUGGGUGGAUUAGUGGCGAACGGGUGAGUAACACGUGAGUAACCUGCCCUUAACUCUGGGAUAAGCCUGGGAAACUGGGUCUAAUACCGGAUAGGAGCGCCUACCGCAUGGUGGGUGUUGGAAAGAUUUAUCGGUUUUGGAUGGACUCGCGGCCUAUCAGCUUGUUGGUGAGGUAAUGGCUCACCAAGGCGACGACGGGUAGCCGGCCUGAGAGGGGGACCGGCCACACUGGGACUGAGACACGGCCCAGACUCCUACGGGAGGCAGCAGUGGGGAAUAUUGCACAAUGGGCGAAAGCCUGAUGCAGCGACGCCGCGUGAGGGAUGACGGCCUUCGGGUUGUAAACCUCUUUCAGUAGGGAAGAAGCGAAAGUGACGGUACCUGCAGAAGAAGCACCGGCUAACUACGUG